GUCUAUGGCCAUGCCACCCUGAACAAGACCGAUCCCAUCUGAUCUCAGAAGCUAAGCAGGGUCAAGCCUGAUUAGUACUUGGAUGAGAGACCACUUAGGAAGACCAGGUGCUGUAGGCG
rnacentral:rRNA from 1 species